rnacentral:rRNA from 1 species
GACAGAGGGUGCAAACGUUUGUUCGGAUUUAUUGGGCGUAAAGAGCUCGUAGGCGGUUUGUCGCGUCUGCCGUGAAAGUCCGGGGCUCAACUCCGGAUCUGCGGUGGGUACGGGCAGACUAGAGUGAUGUAGGGGAGACUGGAAUUCCUGGUGUAGCGGUGAAAUGCGCAGAUAUCAGGAGGAACACCGAUGGCGAAGGCAGGUCUCUGGGCAUUAACUGACGCUGAGGAGCGAAAGCAUGGGGAGCGAACAGG